AAUAUUGGACAAUGGGGGCAACCCUGAUCCAGCCAUGCCGCGUGUGUGAAGAAGGUCUUCGGAUUGUAAAGCACUUUAAGUUGGGAGGAAGGGCUUUAGGCUAAUACCCUGAAGUUUUGACGUUACCAACAGAAUGAGCACCGUCUAACUCUGUCCCAGCAGACGCGGUAAUACAGAGGGUGCAAGCGUUAAGCGGAAUUACUGGGCGUAAAGCGAGCGUAGGUGGUUCAGUAAGAUGGGUGUGAAAUCACAGGGCUUAAACUAGGAAGUGAUUUGCUAACUGAUGAGCUAGAGUACGGUAGAGGGUAGUGGAAUUUACUGUGUAGCGGUGCAAUGCGAAGAUAUAGGAAGGAAAACCAGUGGCGAAGGCGACUACAUGGACUGAUAUUGAAACUGAGGUGCGAAAGCGUGGGGAGCAAAC
rnacentral:rRNA from 1 species